UGUUUAGACUAAUUUUUAUUUUAAAAACAGACUGGGCCUAACCCCAAGUGGAAAAGGAGUGAUGAAAGGGAAAAUAGGGGGUGCAAAAGGAGUAAUCAAACAUACAAAAAACAUAAAAGAAGAAAAAAAAAACAGAAAAUAAAAUAGGAUUGGACCAGACCCAGGCCCAAAAUCCUUUCCUCCCCAGAUCAGAAACCCCAAGGGGUCUCACACUCUCCUCUCCAUUUCAUUCAACGCAGAAUAAGAGACCUAGGGUGUCUCUCACACCUCCUAGCCGGCGGACCUGAGGUCACCAUCUUAACCACCCGUCUUCUCCACCACAAACUGCCGUCAAUGGCGUCGCCGGUGGCAUCACGUGCCCAGAGCCACCGUCGAACCCGACAUCUCGCCCUUUUUCCCAUUUCUUCUCGUGCGACGAUGGCCACCCACCGAACCAGCACCGUCGCACCCCGAGACGCUUUCUCACCGCCGUCGACGAGGUCUGCUACUGCCGGUGAUCGCAACCUUUGCCUAAAGCGUCACACAAACCCUCUCCCCUCUUCUUCGAAUUCGAACACGCCACUACCGCCAGAUAAGAUGGGCGUUGCCGCUGCGCGUCCCCGUUCAACCACACUGUCGAUCACUGUGCAUCCACCUUCCUCUUCGAAACGCGAGCUCUGCUUGACUGGGCGUGAGUUUCCGAUAGUGUUGUGAGUGUUGGGUUGUUGGCUUCGAUUGACACAACCGAAGGGUGAAAGGAACACACUGUGGUGUUCCUGAGUGAAUCUGUGUGAGCUGGGGAACGAAGAUGACACUCUGGUUGCGAUGCAGGGGUUUAUGGAGAUGAAAAUGGGUUGAGGAUGAUGGUGUUAUGCGUGUAGGGUGGAGGAGAAUAGAAUGGUGAUUGGGGCGAUGGUUUUUGUGCGUGUUACCCCUGUGAAGGCUGGACAGUAAGGGUGUUGGAAGAAGAACGAUGAAUUUGAGUGAUUUUCUGCUGAAAUCUAUGGGGAAAAAGUGAGGGUUAUGAAGUUGAUUUGGUCUUAUCUGUUUUGGUUUGAAUGCAGGGAAAAUAGUUGAGAAGUAUGAUAAGGAGAGUGGGAUCCUGUUGUGUGUGAUAUGUGUGGAUUUUUUGCUCUUAAAAACGAAAGAUGAGGAGGGAGCAAGUGGUUGUGUGUGAUGGUUGCAGGGAUGAACUCGGCUGGAGGGUCUGUGCGUGAGGGAGGAUGGUGGUGGUGAUACUGGAUAAGGGUGGAGAUUUUAAUAAAAGGCAAAGACACAAACAGAGGUUUCAGGUCAAAGAGGGAGUGUGAUAUGCAUAGGCGGAUGAUGAAGAAAGGGGAAUACUCACACCAUGAUACAAUCUCAAUCAGAGCAACAUCAAGUAUAAUAUGAAGCACAAUGCAACAAGCUUACCUGAAGAUACAAGUGAACAGAGUAAGCUUACCUCUUGAAACUAUGCUUGCUACUACUAGCCUAGUACCUCCGGCGACCACCUCCCUUCUCUUUGCUGGCUUUCUUUUGUUUCUUUGUAGGUGAACGAAGGAUGCAGGUGUGUGAUGGAUGGUGUCUCAUCUUGAAUGCUUGAAAAAGGAAAUAAUGGGAUAGAGGGUUAUGCGUGUGUGCGUGAUGGAAGAACGGUUUCAGUUCAGUGAGUAGAGAUUUAAAAGUGUAUUUUUUUCCUUCCUUGAGAUUUUUUUUUUUUUUAUGUUCUUGCCUGUGCUAGCAAGUUAUGGUAAGAGUGAGCAUUGGAAGUGGAUUUUGGUUGAUGAAGGAAACUCCUGGGGAGAUGUCUCGAUUAUUGAGUGUGUUUUUUUUAGAAGAUGGAAGAGUGAUCCGAAGUUUAGAAGAAAGGGUAGGGGAUUCUGCGUGUGUGUGGGAGGAUCCUCUGCCUGUAAGGGAGGAACUCUCUUUUGUUCUCUUCCCUCAGUGUUAGAUAUAUUUUUUUUUAUGACCGUGAUGAAACCAUUUCAAAAACCAAGCCCUGGGAUUUCCUCUUUGUCUUUUUCCUUGGUUAUGUUUAAAUUUGAUCAGAUGGUAAAAAGUCAUUCAGACAUCUUUCCUCCUUUGAUGUAUAGCACAACUUUGCAUAAAGAUUUUUAGCCAGAGACACAAAGCCAUUAAUGGGAUAUUUCGAGCAUUACUAUGUAACAUUGCGGGAUGCACUGAUGAUUUGUGUUGCACGAAAGGCAAGAAAGUGUAGUUGACUUU